rnacentral:rRNA from 1 species
AUUGAACGCUGGCGGCAGGCCUCACACAUGCAAGUCGAGCGAGCGGCGGACGGGUGAGUAAUGUAUGGGGACUGCCCGAUAGAGGGGGAUAACUACUGGAAACGGUAGCUAAUACCGCAUACUAUCGGAUAACCCAUAUGGGAUUAGCUACUAGGUGAGGUAAUGGCUCACCUAGGCGACGAUCCCUAGCGGGUCUGAGAGGAUGAUCAGCCACACUGUGACGUGGAAACGGCCCAGACGCCGACGGAGGCAUGAGUGGGGAAUAGUGCACAAUGGGGGGAAGCCUGAUGCAGCCAUGCCGCGUGUAUGAAGAAGGCCCUAGGGUUGUAAAGUACUUUCAGUCGGGAGGCGUUACCGACAGAAGAAGCACCGGCUAACUCCGUGCCAGCAGCCGCGGUAAUAC